rnacentral:rRNA from 1 species
GAGAUGUGGGUAGUCCGCACGAGCGCACCUCAUCUUUAGUUGCCAUCAGUUCGGCUGGGCACUCUAGAGAAACUGCCUGGGAUGACCAGGAGGAAGGCGGGGAUGACGUCAAGUCCUCAUGGCCCUUAUGGGCUGGGCUACACACGUGCUACAAUGGCGGUGACAGAGGGAUGCAAUACGGCAACGUGGAGCAAAUCCCCAAAAACCGUCUCAGUUCGGAUUGUUCUCUGCAACUCGAGAGCAUGAAGUUGGAAUCGCUAGUAAUCGUAGAUCAGCAUGCUACGGUGAAUACGUUCCCGGGCCUUGUACACACCGCCCGUCACACCAUGGGAGUUGGUUUUACCCGAAGACGGUAUCCUAACCUUUUUGGAGGGAGCCGGCCACGGUAGGGUCAGCGACUGGGGUGAAGUCGUAACAAGGUAGCCGUAGGGGAACCUGCGGCUGGAUCACCUCCUUUCU